ACUCUCCUUCAUCCCAGUGAGCAGGAAAGGAACACUGCAGGAGUCUCUGACAGGACAAGAUCAGAGAGUUUAAGGCUCCACCAAAACAAACUUUUUUUUUAACAAGGCACUUUUCAAACUAAAGGUAAACACAAAACCAAAUGCAGUGAGGAUCGUGGGCUGUUCCAGCAACUGCUUCUAGUGUUACCCUAUGCCUUCAAGUCAGAAGUCAGUUUUCUAACACUGGUGCUUCCUAUACACAAAUAUAUUGUUAAAAAAUAAGACCUUACACAUUUGUUA